rnacentral:rRNA from 1 species
CGCGUAGGCGGGCAGCCAAGUCUGUGGUGAAAUCUUUCGGCUCAACCGGAAAAUUGCCGUGGAUACUGGCUGUCUUGAGGGAGGUAGGGGCCUGUGGAACUUCCGGUGGAGCGGUGAAAUACGUUGAUAUCGGAAGGAACGCCGGUGGCGAAAGCGGCAGGCUGGAUCUCUUCUGACGCUGAGGCGCGAAAGCUAGGGGAGCAAACGGGAUUAGACUACCCCGGUAGUCCUAGCCCUAAACGAUGGGUACUAGGUAGUGGACUUGACAUGGGUUCACUGCCGAAGCAAAAGUGUUAAGUACCCCGCCUGGGGAUAUGGUCGCAAGGCUGAA